UCCAGAAAAAAAUGUAUGGGGGGUUGGAAGGCAGUUUUUGUCAGCACCCGCCACCCAGACAAUUGUAAUUGAGAAUUAUAGUGUGAAAAGUUGCUCUGAUACCCAUCACCCAUGUAGUAUUAAUAUAAUGUGCCUUCCAACCCCCCCAUACAUUUUUUUUCUGGAAUAGCCCUGACUUAAAAGUAUGUAUUUCAUAUUUGAUUUUCUAUUUCAGAAAAGAACUCCCUGUCUUUCAUUGAAACUUCAGCAUUGGACUCAACUAAUGUGGAAUCAGCAUUUCAAAAUAUAUUAACAGGUUGGUGGUAGUGUUUAAUCAUUUUCCUUCAAAACUCUAAAAGUGGCCUCAGUGGCCAAGUGAUCUAAGUAGUUACUUCUGUAAUCACAAGCCAGUCAACACUGAGGUUGAGAAAUUGAACCCCGCUCUUGUUCAUGCACUAAAUUGCAAUCUUUAUUGACUAGGAUUGUCAGUUUUCCUAUCAAAGGUCAGUGGUUUUCUUUGGGCAUUGUGGCUUCCUCCACCAAUAAAAACUGGCCGCCACGUAAUAGCCUAAAUGGGUGCUUAAAAGUGGCGUUAAAACACCAAAAAUCAAAAAUAAAUCAAAUCAAAACUCUAACCUCAGAAAAAAUGCAGAAUUAUCAACAAAUAACGUGAUACCCAGGAACUGAUAAAAUAACAGAAACUUAAUCCAUAACUGGUGAAUACUGAUGGAUAUAAUAUUUUAAAGGGGGGACAUAGCUAUUUUGAAGCAAAAAAAAUCACCAAUUUACCCAGACAACUGUACAGCCUGCAGUCUAAUCUAUAUAGAGAGACUGACAUUGUCACUAGAAAAAUAAUGAUGCACACACACACAUGCUAGUAAAUUUACGCUGUCUUCAUUUAUAUGGCUUUAAACAAAUCCUUCCAAUUAAUACAAAGAAUUAAUAUUUGCCAAAUGUGUAUGUUUUAUUAUAUGGAACAAAGUUAUCAAAAACUUAUGUUUUUGAUACCUAAUGCUUUUGUUUCCAAGGUGAUGAUAGAACUGCUUUGAAAUUAUGAUUAUACUGUUUAUUAUUCAUAUGGUAAUACAAAUCCUUCAAAUUAUUUUUUUCUUAUUUCAGAAAUUUAUAAAAUAGUAUCACAGAAACAAAUCCGGGACAGCCCUGACGACGACAACACACCUAGCAACAAUGUACAAAAUAUCAUAGUCGGACCUACAGAUAGCUCCACGCCAAAGUCUAAGUCGUGCUGUAAUGUAUGAGAGUCGCGUGGUUAGAAAGAACAAUUAAUAAGACCAAUUAUAUGUCUAUAUGACAUCAUAUUGAACGAUAUGUUACUAAAGAAAGGGGAAGAACUCCACAGUUUCUCAUUUGACGACAUUCUGCAUUAUUGUAAAAGGGGCUUGUUUCUGUAAUAACCUGUAAUAUCAACUUUUGUGUUUAAAUGAUUAUGGUCAUAUGGUGUGAUUGUUACAGUGUGUUAAAAAUGUUUAAGUUGUUUUAAUUUUAUUAUUCAUGAUGGUUUAUCCUACUUCUACUCUUUAAUUAAAAAAAAAAACGAAAAAUAGAAGUCGACUCAAAACUUAUAAAUAUUGGUUUUUUCUUUGGGACAUAUUUUGGGAGAUAUUCUUUUACCAUUCCUUUACGUCCUUUUGUUUUUAUUCAUGAAUACAUUAUCAAAGAAAUAAAAUGUUGAGUCCAUUAAUCUUCCUUUAACUAGAAUAUGUGAGACUACAUGAAUGAUUGAAGUUUUUGUUUUUAUACGUUGUAAUUAAGCUUAAUUUCUGAUUUGCUAGUUGUAUUGAUUACAUACUGUGGUAUUUAACAAUACUGGAGAUCCAAAGUAAUUGUUGUUCUUGUAACAAACUUAUUUUUCCAUUUACCCUCAAAUUAUCUCCUGUCGAUUUCAUAUCUCCAUAAAUUUGCAUGAUUCUUUAUUCACUAGAAGAUCAUAGAUUUCAUUGUAUUUGAGAUAAUCAUCGGCUCAAAUAUCACGUAUAACAUUCCGUUAAUGGUUUUGAAUGUAAACUUGAAUUCCCAUGUUUUGUUUCUAUAGUAAUGUUUGAUGAUACAGCUGGAUUGUAUUGUUGUAAUUUAAGGUGGUACCUAACACUACAGGGAGAUAUCUCCGUAAAAUCAGCAAAACGUUUUAAUUACGUUGUGUUGUUCAGGGAAUAUCAAGCUUUUCAAUGAUCAGAAUAAGUGUUUGUCAAACUGCUAUUUAACCAGUGUAAUUUUUCUGAUUAAACGAUUGGUUCAAAUUUUUUUGAAAUUUUUAUAUUUUUGUCUAAGUGUCAAAGUAAAUACUUUGUCAAAAUUUUAAGAAAAUUAAACGAGCCAAUUCAAUUUUAGUUACGGUGUUGGGUACCAACUUAAGCUUGUUUUACACUAAAAGACUGCCAGUAAAAUGUUUAUGUUGAUGAUUUUAACACAGUCUGCACUGUAAACCACCCGUGAGUUUUUGAAAAACUGUGUUUAGACACCUAAUAAAAUGUUAGAAUAUUGGUGUUCCAACAAGUAGUUGGAAAAAAUCUUGGUGCAGAUAUCUUAUUUUUAAAUUCAGAAUAAAGGGUGGUGGUUUUUAUAUUUUUGCUACUGUGUGUCAGAUAGAAAGUGCAUUUUAAACCUUAAAUAUAUUGAAGAAUUAAACUUUAGUUAUAGCUAUGACUCAUAUUGGAAAAAUGAAUUGAUACUGUAAAAAGUAGACCAUGUUGUGCUGUAGAUUGAUUACAGCUGAUAUUCUAAUGCUUGCAAAGUAAAACUUUGGUUGGCUUGCUUGCUUUGUUUGUAUGAUUGUUUUUACAAGCUUUGUAAAUAGAUUGACAUCUUUAAAUAAUAUAUAUAGGCAUAGUUUAACCUGUAUAUAUUAUAUUUGAAUUUAAUUGGUUGUUAUACUAAUAUUAUUCUACAAUAUACAAACAAAGCAAGUAAGCUUACCAAAGUUUUGCUCUACAUGCUGUAGGAAAUUAGCUGUAACUGUUUUUAAUUAGUUUGAACAACAUGUACAUGAUGUAAGUCUGUAAUCAGUCUUGGGUAUAAUUUAUGUAGUAUUGUUCCAGAACAGGCCUUAUUUAUUUGAUUGUGACUGACUGGUAUGGUUAUAUAAUGUAGAAUGAAGUCAUAUGUAGAAUCUGUUUAUCUAUUAAAGCUAUAUCACAUAUUUUUAAACAAAUCUGUACAAUUUGUGUGAGUGUAUUUUAUUUAAAUGAUGAGUACGAAUGUGUGGGUGUGAUUGUGUAAUUAUUAUACCGCGAGACUUGUAUUUAUAAUAGUCUGGCUUUUUGUUGAUGUUGUUUCUCAAAUUUCCAUUUGUUUGAGGUAAAGUCUGUACAUAAAAAAAGUACAAGUAAUGAAUGCAUUUGUGUAUAUCAGAUUGAUAUUUUCUUAAGUUUGAAUAAGUUUCAUUAAGGAAGGGAUGUCAGUAUACCAUUUGAUGGCCAAUACAGCUUUCAUUACAUGUGAAAAGGCAUAACACAUGAUUUCUAUUCAAAGAUAUCCUAGUUCUGUUUAACCAUUCAAAUAUGAUUCAAAGGGGUACAUUACUAUUAUAAAAUAUCUAUUUCUUUUUUAGAAAAAGAUUCAAGCAAUUGUAUGAAAUAAAACAUUAUUAUAAGCAGAAUUUACCCCAUAUUGCCCUGUUCUUGAAUUCUGUAUUAAUUAAACAAUCUUUGUGAAGUCAUGAAAGUUCUGUACAACAAAAUUUAAAGCUAAAGCAACUUGUAUGAAUAUAUAGCAAGAAAAUUGUUUUAAAAUAUCAAUCAUGAAUCAGGGAAAAGUCAAUUUUGUUUUAAGUGUAUGUUGGCAUUAAUAAUGUGGCUGUGAUGACUUUUGACCAGGUAAAAUGCUAAAUUAUUGCUAAAGAAGACUGCCAUUAUCAAAUUGAGCAACAAAAGGGAAAAAAACACUAAAAUACAGUAACUUAAUCCAAUGAUUACAUGUUUUGAAUAAGUGGCUGCACCCUUUAUUUCUACCCUAACAUUAUAAAAUGUACCUUAUUGCUAGCAUGUUGGUAUAUUUUUGUUACUGCUUUAUUAACUCAAUAUUAUGACUGUAUAUUUGUUAAUAUUUGAUGUAAAAUCUUGUAUGAGAUUAUAAUAAAUUAUUUCUUUGAAAAAAUCUAUAUUCCUAUACAAUUAAAUUUCUAGUGGGCUUUGAUUACACAUUUCAGCUCAUGUGCCCCUGGUCUAGUGGGAAUGGACACAUGUUUGAUACAUAGGUAUUUUCCUAAUCAGCCUUUAGUGUCAUGAUACAUUGAUAAAUUUAUUAUAUUGGAAAGAUUUCAAGACAAAAUAUAAAGAAUGUCAGAGAAAUAAAAGAUGAUAUAAUGAAUUAUAGUAAACAGUCCUUUCUGGUCGUAUAAUGCCAGGACUGUAAGAGCUGUGGAAACAACUUUGAGGCCACUCUUUAAAAAAUAUUUUGUUUGAUGUUGCCUAUUAUUAAGUAGGGAUUUAAAAGAAAUUGGUGAAAAGACAUAAAUUAAUAGACAAAGUAAAAGCAGGAACAAAUAUUUUUUUUAAAUCUGAUAUGAUUCUUUGGGUAGGCUGCUUUUCAGGCAACAUCAAACAAAUAAAAUUUUGUGUUUGGCCUGAUCUUACUGUGAUUAUUAUGUAAAUAUAUGUUUAUUUUUUCAUCACAAAUGCUUGUUUAUCGUAUGUCUGUACGAGUGUAUGUGAGAGUUGAGGAGGGUACAUUUUAUAAACAAAACUGAUAGAAUAAAAAUGUUAACAUUUAUCUCAUCGU
rnacentral:lncRNA from 1 species